rnacentral:sRNA from 1 species
GCCCCACAGCCUUGUGCCCUUGGAGCACCGUUUCUGUCCUUCAGUGGGCACCUCUAUGCAGCUCACGGGGUUGUGCUCCUCUCGUUAGGGACACACGCAGUCCAGGCAGUGCCGCGCCACGUGGCUCUGCAGUGUUGGUGAACAGGAGUUGCAGGGAACUGAAAGCCCGGGAUCCCAGCUGAAACUCAGGAUGAAAACCGAAGAAGAGGCCCGGACUCAUACAGAGAUUGAAAUGUUCCUUAGAAAGGAGCAGCAGAAACUUGAGGAGAGGCUGGAGUUCUGGAUGGAGAAAUAUGAUAAGGACACAGAAAUGAAACAGAAUGAACUAAAUGCUCUCAAAGCCGCAAAGGCCAGUGACUUAGCACACCUUCAGGACCUGGCAAAGAUGCUCCAGGCCUGGUGGCGAGGCACUAUGAUACGGAGAGAAAUUGGUGGUUUCAAGAUGCCUAAAGACAAAGUUGAUAGCAAGGAUUCAAAAGGCAAAGGUAAAGGCAAGGAUAAGAGGAGAGGCAAGAAGAAGUGACCAAGUUCUCUUCUGUGUUUUCUGCUGGUAUUCUGGAGGUGGGAAGGACUUGGAGAGAGUUAAGAAACACCUGGUACCUCAAAGAUGACUCAUCUACAGGUUGUUUCCUAUUGAGACUUUCCCAGGGAAGCCUGAUUUCACUUUGCCUGUUAAUUUCACUCUGCCUGUUAAUUUCACUCGGCCUG